rnacentral:rRNA from 1 species
CCUACGGGGCGCACCAGUGGGGAAUAUUGGACAAUGGGCGAAAGCCUGAUCCAGCAAUGCCGCGUGUGUGAAGAAGGUCUUCGGAUUGUAAAGCACUUUCGACGGGGACGAUGAUGACGGUACCCGUAGAACAAGCCCCGGCUAACUUCGUGCCAGCGGCCGCGGUAAUACGAAGGGGGCUAGCGUUGCUCGGAAUGACUGGGCGUAAAGGGCGCGUAGGCGGUUUAUGCAGUCAGAUGUGAAAUCCCCGGGCUCAACCUGGGAACUGCAUUUGAGACGCAUAGACUAGAGGUCGAGAGAGGGUUGUGGAAUUCCCAGUGUAGAGGUGAAAUUCGUAGAUAUUGGGAAGAACACCGGUGGCGAAGGCGGCAACCUGGCUCGAUAUUGACGCUGAGGCGCGAAAGCGUGGGGAGCAAACAGGAUUAGAUACCCCUGUAGUC